UCGUGGAUAGUAAAGUUCCUAGUAUCGUCGCCUGUCAAUCAUAGCAGACCGCGGAAGACCCGGGUUCAAUUCUCGGUUCGUGAA